GACGAACGCUGGCGGCGUGCUUAACACAUGCAAGUCGAACGGGCGCUGUCUGGCUGUGUGCCGGGUGGGGUUGGGGGCGAACGGGGGAGUAAUACGGGAGUAACCAGCCAUCUUCUUUGGGAUAAGCCUUGGAAACGGGGUCUAAUACUGGAUAUUCCUGUCUGGUCGCAUGGCUGGGUGGGGAAAGUUUUUUUCGGUGGGGGAUGGGCUCGCGGCCUUUCAGCUUGUUGGUGGGGAGUUGGCCUACCAAGGCGUCGACGGGUAGCUGGCCUGAGAGGGGGCCCGGUCGCACUGGGACUGAGUCCCGGCCCCUACGCCUGCGGGCGGCAGCAGUGGGGGCGCUUGCGCAGUGGGCGCGAGCCUGAUGCGCCGACGCCGUGAGGGGGGUGUCGGCUUUCUGGUUCUAUGCCUCUUUCGGAGGGGGACAAGGCUCUGCUUGGUGGUGGGGUUGAGGGUACCCGGUGAAGAAGCGCCGGCUAACUACGUG
rnacentral:rRNA from 1 species